CCAGUGUUUAAGAGAAUGGAACCAUGGAGAAGGCUCUAGGCCACUCGAAUGCAAAGUUAAUUUGUCCUCACUGACCCCUACAGGACGUGGUUCCUGGUGAAAAGAGUUCCCCUUCUCUCACAAGGCUGCAAUGAAGGUGUCAGUCAGCAUGAGGUCUCAUCUGAAAACUUGCCUGGGGAAGGACCUGCUUCCAAGUUCAUCGAAGUAGUUGUUGGAAAGAUUCAGUUCCUUGUAGGUUUUUGGACUGUGGGCCUUCGUUCUUUGCAGGCAGUCAGCAGGAGGCUCUCUUCAGUUCCUUUUUGGAUAAGCCUAUCCAUAGGGUAGCUGACAAUAUAACACCUUGUACAUCAAAGCCAGCAUGGCAGAGAGUUUGCUAACAAGACAGAAGUUACAAUCAUACAUAACAUAAUCAUAACAAUGACAGAUCAUCAUCUUUGCCAUAUUGUAUUGCUUAGAAGCAUCUCAUAGAAGCAGCCCCUCAAGGAAACAGAACUACACAAGACCAUGAAUACCAGGAAGCAGGGGUCUUUGGGUCCAUCUUAAAGUCUAUCUGCCAUACAGCCUAGACUGAUGCAGAGACUGACACUACUGACAAGGCAUUGAAAAAAGUGAAACUGCAAAUGUAACAAAACCCAAGAAGAAAAGUCCAUGGUGCUAUGAUAUUUUCUCAUAGGGGGAUGUGAACUGAAUAAAUUAGGAGAGAAGUUUCUUUCUGAGAAAGAAACAAUCGAACAAGGAACUGAAGUUGAAGUAGGAGUUAAGUAGUUAUUUUUUAAAUUGUACUUUCCCUUCCUUCCUUUCCUCUCUGCCUCUGAGUCACUCAUUUAAAUCACAGAGUUAUUCAGGGAACAAAAGAUACGGGGAACAUUGUAUUUUACAUCAGAUGAGCUCAUCUGAGGAAUGUGCAGAGCAUGUAUUAUCUCCUUAACAGUAAUAAACAAUAUCUUCAAAAAAAAAAAGGGAACUAAACAGCUAUCAUCUCCAACAUUCUAAUUUAUGGAAACAUCACCUUGAUGCUAACAAAGCAGAAAAAGAACUUUAAAUGUAACGUAUUGAUUCAAAAAUCCUUGAAAGCAAGAAAAAAAAAUCCUUUAUGACAUUUUCUACAGUGGCAGAAAAAUAAAUUAACUAAAUACUGGCUUGAGGGCCCUACCCAAAUUGAACAGUCCUAGUCAUUUAACCCAAGUACUUUUGCCUUUUUCUUCCUUUUUUCUCCUUAUACACUCACCCCAAAGAAGUCAAUAAAAAACAUCUCAUUUAAUUCAUAUCCCACUGAAAUGAGGAAUUCAGCAAAUGAGGAAUUCAGCAUAUAUGAACUGACAUAAAACCAUAUAAAAGAUACAAAAAAUAAAAUAUUACCUAAUAAAUAGAACACAGAAACAUAAUUCAACUUUUCUUCAGGCUAUGAGGACAUUAUUAGAAAAAAAUGUGUAUUUUUCUCUCAUAUAAGACAGUGGGGAAGAUGAAGAGGAUGAACAGCUGUCACGCGAAUGGCUUUUUGGCUCUGUUUCUUGUGUCCCCAAUUUCCAGGUCUUAUUCUGUGUCUUUCUGUGAGAUUAUCUGUCCACUCUCUAUAUGUUGAUUCUACAAACCCUCAUACUUUUCACUGACUUCUCCCUAAUUUUUAAUUAAUUGCAACUUAACAAGAUCAGACAUUCCCUAAGGAAAAACUAGACAGCUCAGUUUAUGGAGUUGGAAGCUAACAUCACACAUGAGCCUAGAUCAAUACUACGGAUCUGAAGAAGAUUCUAUUGCUCUCUAGAAAAAAAUAAAAUAUGUACUCUAUUAUAGCUCUCUA